GACGAACGCUGGCGGCGUGCUUAACACAUGCAAGUCGAGGGCGGGGAGCAAUCCCUGACCGGCGAACGGGUGCGUAACACGUGAGCGACCUUCCGUCUUCUGGGGGAUAGCCGGCCCAACGGCCGGGUAAUACCGCAUACGCUCAUUGGGCUUCAUGGCUUGAUGAGGAAACUUCCGGGGGAGGACGAGGGGCGUCGCGGCCUAUCAGCUAGUUGGUGCGGUAACGGCGCACCAAGGCGACGACGGGUAGCUGGUCUGAGAGGAUGGCCAGCCACAUUGGGACGUGAGAGACGGCCCAGACUCCUACGGGAGGGCAGCAGUGGGGAAUCUUGCGCAAUGGCCGAAAGGCUGACGCAGCGACGCCGCGUGUGGGAGGAAGCUCUUCGGGGUGUAAACCACUGUUGCCCGGGACGAACAGCCCUUUUCGAGGGGCCUGACGGUACCGGGUGAGGAAGCACCGGCUAACUCUGUGCCAGCCGCCGCGGUAAC
rnacentral:rRNA from 1 species